UCCCCGUCACAACGGCUUCCUGACGUGACGGCAGUCAUUUUUAGUGGAGCG
rfam:Roseovarius albus strain CECT 7450 genome assembly, contig: 0007